ensembl:lncRNA
CUCAGAUCCAGCUCUUUAAGACUAGAUGACUGGGAGCUGAGAACUGAGAACAGAGCUUCACAGCCUCUCCCUGAGAGGUUACAGCCACUCAGUCUGAAGAGACAACAUUGAAGAAAAUAUGAACAAUAAGUAGAACAGAUGGAAGCAUAUUUACCUUGAUGUAUGAAUCUAACUCUCUCUGUACUUACAGAGCUUUUUUGGAGGCUUUGACCACAGGCAGCAGCCUCAGAAGAGCCUCCUCUGAACCAGAGUAUUUCUUCAGGUCAAACACGUCCAGAUCUUCUUCUGAUAAAAACCUCGUAGGAGAGUCUGAUUGGUUUCCAGGGAAAGACCCAGGAGGAAGCGGAGGAACAAGUCCAGGUGUCCAUUAGGACUCUGUAAGGCCUUGUCCACAGCACUCUGGUAGAGACGCGUUGGUUCAGGUUUGUAUAUAAAUGCUUUAAACCAGUGGAAAAUUGUUUGUUCUUCUAUGAGCAGAUUGGCACCAUAGUUGAUGAAGGUCAGAUGAACAUGAAGAGCAGCCAGAAACUCCUGAACACUCAGAUGGACGAAGCAGAACACCUUGUCCUGGUACAGUCUGCUCUCCUCUCUAAAGAUCUGAGUGAACACUCCUGAGUAAACUGAGGCUGCUCUGAAAUCGAUGCCACACUCGGUCAGGUCGGAUUCAUAGAAUAUCAGGUGUCCUUUCUGCAGCUGAUCAAAGGCCAGUUUUCCCAGAGCCUUGAUCAUCUUCCUGCUCUCGGGACUCCAGUGUGGAUCCGUCUCAGCUCCUCCAUCGUAUUUGACCGUCUUCACUUUGGACUGAACCACCAGGAAGUGGAUGUACAUCUCAGUCAGGGUCUUGGGCAGCUCUCCUCCCUCUCUGGCCUUCAACUCCUCCUCCAGAACUGUAGCAGUGAUCCAGCAGAAGACUGGGAUGUGGCACAUGAUGUGGAGGCUUCGUGAGGUCUUGAUGUGAGAGAUGAUUCUGCUGGCCUGCUCCUCAUCUAUGAACCUCUUCUUGAAGUACUUCUCCUUCUGGGGGUCAGUGAACCCUCUGACCUCUGUCACCAUGCCAACACACUCAGGAGGGAUCUGAUUGGCUGCUGCAGGUCGUGUGGUGAUCCAGAGGCGAGCAGAGGGAAGCAGCUUCCCCCUGAUGAGGUUUGUGAGGAGCACAUCCAGUGAGGCC